rnacentral:rRNA from 1 species
UCCAGACUCCUACGGGAGGCAGCAGUGGGGGAUAUUGCACAAUGGGGGGAACCCUGAUGCAGCGACGCCGCGUGGGCGAUGGAGUACUUCGGUAUGUAAAGCCCUAUCAGCAGGGAAGAAAAUGACGGUACCUGACUAAGAAGCCCCGGCUAAAUACGUGCCAGCAGCCGCGGUAAUACGUAUGGGGCAAGCGUUAUCCGGAUUUACUGGGUGUAAAGGGAGCGUAGGCGGCCUGGCAAGCCUGAUGUGAAAUACCGGGGCCCAACCCCGGGGCUGCAUUGGGAACUGCCAGGCUGGAGUGCCGGAGAGGCAGGCGGAAUUCCUAGUGUAGCGGUGAAAUGCGUAGAUAUUAGGAAGAACACCAGUGGCGAAGGCGGCUUGCUGGACAGUAACUGACGUUGAGGCUCGAAAGCGUGGGGAGCAAACAGGAUUAGAUACCCGUGUAG